GUGAGGAAUAUUGCGCAAUGGAGGCAACUCUGACGCAGCCAUGCCGCGUGCAGGAAGAAGGCGCUACGCGUUGUAAACUGCUUUUAACCGGGAAGAAACCCCAGGACGUGUCCUGGGUUGACGGUACCGGAGGAAUAAGCACCGGCUAACUUCGUGCCAGCAGCCGCGGUACUACGAAGGGUGCAAGCGUUAUCCGGAUUCAUUGGGUUUAAAGGGAGCGUAGGCGGAGCGUUAAGUCAGUGGUGAAAUCCUGCAGCUUAACUGUAGACUUGCCAUUGAUACUGGCGCUCUUGAGUGCGCUUGAAGUGGGCGGAAUGUGCCGUGUAGCGGUGAAAUGCUUAGAUAUGGCACAGAACACCAAUUGCGAAGGCAGCUCACUAAGGCGAUACUGACGCUGAGGCACGAAAGCGUGGGGAUCGAACAGGAUUAGAAACCCCGGUAGUCC
rnacentral:rRNA from 1 species